rnacentral:rRNA from 1 species
AUACGUAGGGUGCAAGCGUUAAUCGGAAUUACUGGGCGUAAAGCGUGCGCAGGCGGUUUUGUAAGACAGUGGUGAAAUCCCCGGGCUCAACCUGGGAACUGCCAUUUUGACUGCAAGGCUGGAGUGCGGCCGAGGGGGAUGGAAUUCCGCGUGUAGCAGGGAAAUGCGUAGAUAUGCGGAGGAACACCGAUGGCGAAGGCAAUCCCCUGGGCCUGCACUGACGCUCAUGCACGAAAGCGUGGGGAGCAAACAGGAUUAGAUACCCUGGUAGUCCACGCCCUAAACGAUGUCAACUGGUUGUUGGGGAUUUAUUUUCUCAGUAACGAAGCUAACGCGUGAAGUUGACCGCCUGGGGAGUGCGGCCGCAAGGUUAAAACUCAAAUGAAUGGGCGGGG